ensembl:lncRNA
CAGGAAGCCAGACUGAACAGAUGUGUCUGCCACCACUUCCUGGGGUGGGGUCAGGCCGCACCAGCUUUGAUCAACCAAAGGAGGAAUUUCCAGUGUCAAGGGCCCUCUGCAAAGACUCCCCCAGGGCCUAGCCCAAGAGGUAAAGGAACCAAGGAUUAAAAAGCAACCAGGAGCAUCCCAACUGGCAGAGCAGCACAAAAGACUCCUGCACUACAGAGGAGAUUUGGAGAAACAUGCUAUGGAAGGAGCAAGACAGAUGAAGAGUUGCCUACAUGUUGGAGUGGAAUUCCGUGAGGAAGUGUUGAGAUGUACUGGAAUCUUUAAG